rnacentral:rRNA from 1 species
UACGUAGGGGGCAAGCGUUGUCCGGAAUCAUUGGGCGUAAAGAGCUCGUAGGCGGCCUGUUGCGUCCGCUGUGAAAGCCCGGGGCUUAACCCCGGGUCUGCAGUGGAUACGGGCAGGCUAGAGGUAGGUAGGGGAGAAUGGAAUUCCCGGUGUAGCGGUGAAAUGCGCAGAUAUCGGGAGGAACACCGGUGGCGAAGGCGGUUCUCUGGGCCUUACCUGACGCUGAGGAGCGAAAGCGUGGGGAGCGAACAGG